CGGGUAAAUUCACUACAACAAAAUUAGAUCAUAGGGACACAUAUUUGAGACAUUUUUGUGUAAGUAUCCAAAUUAUGCCAAAAUUUUUAAAAAAAAUCUACUAAUGCCUAAAUAUAAAGUCCAAUCCAAUUAAAAAUAAAAUGUUACUCUACUCAACCCACCCCAUCGAGCUCAUUCGACCCGAUUACAAACAGAAAAGAAAAAUUGAUUAUCAUUUCUCCUUCUCCCCUCACUCAAUGGACUGAAAUCCUAAACGAAGAUCCUUUCCUCUCGUCCUCCUCCGCCAUCGCAGCUAACGAGAUAGAGUUCCGACGGCUGCUAAAUACUUAAAGAAAUAUUGGUAAAUUAGAAGUAUUUUUUAGGUUAUAGAGACACUCUUUAACUGUCACUAUAUACUUAGUGACCCCACAUAUAGCAACACUUUUUAAAAGUGUCGGUAAUUUAGCCGGCAAUAUUUUUCUUGAUCUGUACCGAUAUUUAAAAGUGUCACUAUAAAUCGUUUUUGUU
rnacentral:lncRNA from 1 species